rnacentral:rRNA from 1 species
AAGCAUAUAAGUAAGCGGAGGACAAGAAACUAAAUAGGAUUCCCCCAGUAAUGGCGAAUGAACAGGGAAGAGCUCAGCAUGGAAAUCGGGGCCUCCCGGCCUUGAAUUGUAGUCUUGAGAUGUACUGCCAACGGAGGCGCAGAUGUAAGCCUCUUGGAAAAGAGCAUCAACGAGGGUGAGAGUCCCGUUUGUCAUCUGCAGUCCCCCGUGCACGGUGUACAUUCUAAGAGUCACGUUCCUCGGGAUUGGAGCGCAAAGUGGGUGGUAAAUUUCAUCUAAAGCUAAAUAUUGGUUCGAGACCGAUAGCAAACAAGUACCAUGAGGGAAAGGUGAAAAGGACUUUGAAAAGAGAGUUAAAAGUGCCUGAAAUUGCUGAAAGGGAAGCGAAUGGAACCAGUGUUCUUGAUGAGAUUGUCGCGUACUCUGGUGAUUGCUGGGUGCUCCACCGCAAGGGGGGCAUUUGGUUUUGAGCUAGAUGUGCGUGGUGUUUCUUGUCUUGUGUGUCACCGUCGGUGCACGAGCGAGUAAACCUCCAGGGAGAUGGUAACUCGUCUGCGGAUGUGUGAAUGUCUCUGGUAGUACUCAUUUGUGUAUCGAUCCCUGCGUGUCUGGUUGCAGUGUUUGAGUCGUCUGGAAGCUUCUGAAAGGCUUGCCCUCGAUGAACUUUCUGGGCUCCUUGAGCAUCUCCCUGACACAAAGACGAUGACUAAUGGGUUCUAUUCGACCCGUCUUGA